rnacentral:rRNA from 1 species
UGGGGAAUAUUGCACAAUGGGCGCAAGCCUGAUGCAGCCAUGCCGCGUGUAUGAAGAAGGCCUUCGGGUUGUAAAGUACUUUCAGCGAGGAGGAAGGCGUUGUGGUUAAUAACCGCAGCGAUUGACGUUACUCGCAGAAGAAGCACCGGCUAACUCCGUGCCAGCAGCCGCGGUAAUACGGAGGGUGCAAGCGUUAAUCGGCAUUCCUGGGCGUAAAGCGCACGCAGGCGGUCGGUCAAGUCGGAGGUGAAAUCCCCGGGCUCAACCUGGGAACUGCAUCCGAAACUGGCAGGCUAGAGUCUUGUAGAGGGGGGUAGAAUUCCAGGUGUAGCGGUGAAAUGCGUAGAGAUCUGGAGGAAUACCGGUGGCGAAGGCGGCCCCCUGGACAAAGACUGACGCUCAGGUGCGAAAGCGUGGGGAGCAAACA